rnacentral:lncRNA from 1 species
GAAAAGAAACCAAUUAAAAUAAAAUGUUAAAAUCUUUCCCAUCACCACAAUUUCAAGAUAUGGCCUCUCUGCACCUUCAUCACAACCAUCUCAACAAGAAAACACAGGAAGAAAUUAAAUCCAAAAAGAAGCAAAUGUGAAGAAAAGAAGAAGAACUAGUCUACAGCAACACAAAGUCUUUCCUCGUUUAAUCCGUAAAUAAAAUGGUAACUCCUUUUUUUAUUUUGACUCAUUUUAUAUUUUAUAUUUUAAUUUAUAAUUAGAGUCAUAUAUAUCUUUUAUUUAAUUUGUUUAGGCUUGAGUAUAUGCUUUUCUAUACUAUUUCUUUUUCUUGUAUUUUCGUUGAGUAUAAGUAUCUGAUGACUGAACAUUUCCAUGAUUGGAUCUAAACAUUUGUGAUUAGUUUUUCUUAAUAUUAGCAUAAUAACAAAUUAAUAAUUUUUUGAUAGAAAAUGUCUAAAAGACUGGCUCUUGCUUCCUCUAUUCUGACAUUCAUUUCAUCUUACUACGUGUAAAAUAUAUGGAUCCUUCGAAGCAUUUGUGACACCAUUGAUUUUAUGACACAUAACUUCAACAAACAACAAAAAAGGUAACAGCAACAUUGGAAUCAAUUUAGUAGGUUGAAACAACAUAUCACAUCCAAAGAAAAUGGAUGGCUUAGAGAUUACAUUAUCCAAUAACAUUAAUAACAUUAAUGUAACCCUUUUAAGAAAACUCAUUUGAGGCAUAUUUCAAGAAACUGAUAAAAUCUUGGUAAGUAUUCUCUCUAUUUCUACCCGUGCAAGUUCUUCCACGUAGAACUCCAUUCUUCCACCUAGUAUUAUUAUCUCUUGGAGACUUGGAUUUGAAUCCUUGUUUUUAUGGUUUCGCCACUAAACUUCUUUUGUUCCCUUAGUUGAUAUUGUUUCGUUUGUACAAAUUCAUGACCUCAUUAUUACGGUUAAAGAAUUCUAAUGUACAAUGCAAUCCCACGACAACUCUUUGUACCAUCACCCCCUCAAAACAUCAUCAUUGAGCUCAACAACAAGAAAUUUAACUUUAACCCAAUACCAAUGAUGUAUUUGUUUAGUUAGAUUAUAUCAAGAGCAUUUACACUGCUAGAAGCGACUACUCGUGACUCCUCGGCAUCAAAUACGGUCUAACUAUUCAAAACUCGUAAUCUUGGUCUUUGGUUUGAAAAUUCUGCCUCCUAGAAAAGAUUAAGUUCCUCUUUUGACUCGCUUGUCACAACUUUACCCCAUCACUAGAACAUGAUAACCUCAACUUCUUGCUCCAUAUGCGGUCUAGAAGAUGUGUUUUCCGUGUGUUGUAGACAAAAGUGCUUCUAAAAAUCUGUCACUUAACCUUGGAUUCUCCCAUAAAGAUCUUUCCUCGAUCCAUAAUACUAAUGUUUGGCUUAUAAAUGGAAGCUCUAACAACUGUUAUACCCUAUUUGCGGCAAGAAUUUUGUGGGCUUAGAGAAACAAAAAAUGUACUUGUAUCCCCCAUGAUCACAUUCCCUUGUAUCUUAUUUCUCUGAUUGCUCGCUCCAUGGAAGGCUCCUUUCACAUUUGCUUAAACAAAUCUAUUCAGAAGCACAUUGAAGAUCGUCUCAUAAAAUGAAACCCCUUCAAUUGUUCUUGCCCUAUUAUUAAUGUUGAUGACAUUUGUAAUGAUACAUCAACUCUCGUUGACUUUGGUGGAACAAUUACAAAUGCUUAAAGAGCUUAGAGGCGUGGCAUCUCUAACUUCAUUUUAAAUUGGGGGACUUUCAUUGGGGGACUUUCAUACCUUUAAGGUUUUGUUUUGGAGUUUAGAGGGGAGGGGAAGAGUGAGUUUUGAAAAACGUUUUUUUAAAUAGAGAAAUCUUUAAUAUUUUUUGAAAAAAAAGUUGUAUAGAAAACUUUAACGCUUUUUUUAAAUAGAGAAAUCUUUAACAUUAUUGAAAAAAAUUGAUAAAUUAUAUUUUAACAAUUUAUCUAAGCCCUCCAAAACCAUCCAAACUCCUUCUCCAAUACAAUUUUUUAAUUCCCCAAAUUAGGGAGAUUUUGGUUUUUGAGUAAAAAUAAACCCCCCAAACUCUAUCCACCUAAAUCUUUUUAUUUUUUUCCCUCAAUCAUUUGCUUUUUUCGAAGUCUUGCCAUUCCUUCCCCUUCAAACUCCCAAACAAAGCUUUAGUGUAGAUUUGAAGAUGAAUAUGUAAGAGAGAGAGAGAGAGAGAGAGAGUGUGUAGAUUUGAAGAUGAAUAUGUAAGAGAGAGAGAGAGAGAGUGUAGAUUUGAAGAUGAAUAGGUGUGUGUGUGAGAGAGAGAGAGAGGGAGAUAUGGUUAAGAGAGAUAGAGGGAAAGGUACCAAGGCACCAAAAUCCAAAGGUAGUCAACCCCUUCCCAUGCUUAAGGCAUCCUAAAGGUUGCUACCAAACCCUCGUGAAAGGCUAAAAAUACCCCUAGAAUUCAGAGAUGCAUUUCCAAACAUACCUCAAACAUACACAUCCCAUCUGUUUUUAAUCCACGUCCCAAAUAUUUGAUUGAACUGAUUCCGAAACAUAUUGAACCAGCAACAAACACAGAAUUGAAAAGAUAAUGAAUGAAGAUAAAUCAAUAUUGGUAACAUAAAAAAUGAAACAUUACAUAAGUAACCAUUAACAUAAAUCGAACACUACAUUUUAACAUAAAUCGAACACUACAUUUUAACAUCCAGAUAGACACUUCAACACCUUCAUAAUAUAUGUGAUCGGUCUUGCAAUCGUCGCAUCUAGCUCAAUCAGACGUUUUAUUUCGUAACAAAAAAAGUAUUCCAUAUAAGCCUUAAAUAUUCAUGUGUCUUUAGCUUUCAAAAAUCUCUCUUGUAUCACUUUCCAUUCGGUCAAGAUGGAGAUAUUUGACUUAUCGUCCUUCAUCACGCCAUCAUCAUCAAACCCGAUCCCUUUCCAGUGAGUUCAAACCUUAUUCAUUCUUAUCAUGCUAUCGUGUUUCACCUUCUUUGAAAUUAGACAAGCACACGGGACUCGAGAGACCAUAUGUUUUCCUGAAUGUGCAACCAUACUUUGAGUUAUCAGAAUCUACAUUCUAAGUUUGUUUGGCUUAGUGAAAAAUAAAAUCCAAUCCUGCUCAAGAUAUGUUUCCGACCAACUAAGAAUAUAAAUUGUUGUCUUUGAAUCUGUGUUAUGAUACUGUGAUGCUACAACCAAAUGAUGUUUGUAUCUCGUUAUGCUGAUUUUGGAUCAUUUGAUUUACAUAGUCUCAAUCUCUAGACAAAUUACCCUUACUAUUUCCCAACCAAUUCUUUAGUGUAGCAUGGGAAGACUUAACUCGAUUAGUUGUUGUAUUUCCAUGGUAUCUUACUUGAUCGGUCCAAGCACAAACAAUUUUCUUCUUUACAUGGUAUAAAACUCUACUUUCAACAUGUUUCAAUAAAUAUGGAUACUUCUCAAACAACUUCAUGAAACAUAUAACAACAUAGACAUAUAAUUCUUCUGGAGAAGAUUUUUAUUAUCACAUUCCAUGCAUCUAUUAUUCUUACCAUAAUCACAUAAGCUUUGACCAUUUUGUCGUCUUCACCCUUAAUUUGUUUUGUCACUACCGCGGGUUUAACUCGACUUCUAACAUUCUUUGUGAAGUGAUACUUGCUACUUAAUGCGUAUGAAAUAGAAAAUACUUUGCAAUUGAAUUUAUCAAUGUAGUAUCACGGUCGUUGACAAUGACUUUCGACGUGUCUUUUUUGUCCUUCAACAUUGUCUGACACACUUCUAAAGAAAAAGUUACAUUUUCCUAUUUUUCUCUCUUCAGAAAUACAAACAUGACAUAAUAAGUCUUCUCAGUAAAGGUAACACCAACAAUUUUCGAUAUUGGAAACCUGUACUUGUUGGUCUUAUACGUUGAAUCAAUGAUGAGUAUAGUAGGAAACAUGUUGAACAACUUUAUAAAAUCGGGAUGAGUCCAAAAUAUAGCUCGAACUAUUACUCAGUCCUCGCAUGUUCGGUACCUGUAGAUACAUAAUUGUUAUCAUCCAGAAGUUUCAACAGUUGUUGUAUUUCAGUUCUAUCUCCCAUUAACGCCUUGUUGUUAAGGACACAAAACGAUUUCCUUCUCUUCCAGCAUAAGGUGACAUGCAAUUGGAUGCCCGACUAACUUGUCACACAUGUCACGGUUAUGUAAUCCAUAAUUUACAUUAAAUCUCCAUUUGUUAUUUGACAAAAGAUACCCAUGCAACUUAAAGGGACACUCGCAUUUUCUCAAACUGGUGUCAUCUCAUUUGAAUUUUCGGAGAAGGGUUUUAUACUUCCUACUUCUUUCGUAUCUCAUUGUCACAAAUGCAAAUCUUCUAUCUGAAUCAUUAUCGGGCCUUUCAAUUACAACAAAAAACCCCAGUUUGGAUGCUUUUUGUGCAAGUCCAUUGAAGCAUAUGAUCACAAAAUGCAAACUUUUAUUCAUUUGUAAAUUGGUUGUCAACAUCUACCUCAUUCACAUCAACACGUUUGGCAUCCAUAGACACAAUAGGUUCCAGAAAAACAUCAGGGUACACCAUAUCUAAUGCAAACAAUAACAAAAAAAAUCAAACAUUGAUUGAAAUGAACAAUGAACAAUUCUGGGAAUGCAUUUCUGUAGAAGUUCAUACAAAAUCCAGAAAUACAUUUACGGACGCAACGUAACUUUUACAGCUCAAAAACAAGAUUAAUGUGAGCAAUGAGGAAUGAAAUAAAUUAUCUUUACCUUGAAUUUCAACUUCUUUUUCUCCUUUUGAUAUGAUGAAACAUAAGACUAAAGUUUUGAAGUGGAAAUCUUGAUUGAGAAUGGAAUGACUUUUUAUAAGUAUAUUGAGGGAAAAAAUGGUAAUGGUGUUUGAUCAUGCAAUGUUCUAUUUUGUUGAAAAUCACGUUUGAUAUUUUAGGAAAUGCACAUCCGAAAUUGACUGAAAUGCAAAGGUGGAAGGUUUUCAAAUUCCCGUUUCACAAAUCCGAAAAUGCACUUCUGAAAAAGGCAUUGAGUUGUUAAAUUAGGAAUAAAUUGAUAGAGUGGGCCCAGAGAUGCAUCUCCGAAAUAAGUUUUGGAACAAAUAAGAGGUGAGACUCAGUUAGGGCACAUUUCAAUGAGGGCAUAGUGCAUCCCAAAAUGCAUUUUCAGAAUCAGAAGGACAAUUUCAAGUUUUUAUAAGGUGUUUUUCCACCACUUAAGGUGGAAUUAACAAUUCCUUUCUGUUUUUGUGUUGGAUAAAGAUGUGUACUUUCCAGAGAAUUAUCUGUAGUUUUAUAAAAAUGCAGGGUGCAUAAAAUCGCUUUCAAAAAAUGGCAUAUGAAAUAAGUUUCUCACAUCAUUUUAUUGAUGUUCAAAAUACAUAAAUUCUAUACAUAAUGCAAGGAACCAAACAAAUUUAGACAUUCUAAAUACUAGCUUCCAGGUCUCUAAUUGAGAUCUCAUCUAUUACAAAACUACAAACAUAUAAAUAAGUAAAUACCUUAAGCACCAAAUGCAUGAAAUACAAAACUUCCCUUUGAUCAUGGUGUUGUUGGAGAAGUUGGAACUUAAUUAUUAUGCUUCAAAGACCAUAGAAAGUACACCAUCUCUGCAUUAUUAUCAAAACAAAUUGAAACCAGGCAAAAUUAUCCCGACAGAGAGUGAUUAUGCUCUCCAUUGACAAUAUCAGGUAGCUCAGAACUGACUAUGUGAGAAAUUCAUCCAUGUCUUUUUCUCCAUAAAUUUGAGACAGGACUGAAUUACAAGGCCAAUCGACAUAGAAAUGAGGCUUACAACCAAUACUUUGAGGGUUGAAAAAUAUAAUACCAAACAAAUAAAUAUUGUAGGAGGAAUACACAUAAUAAUUGCUUAGGUUGUUUCUCCUGGUAUUGUAGUAUUCAGAUCGAACUCUAGUCUCGACAGGGGUAAUUUCAUGGUUAAACAAGGAUGUGCAUGUUAUAAUUGAAGUUUGUUCUAGAAUGUAGUAGUUGAAAUUGUUUUAUUUACUUUGUUAUGUAGUAUUUAUGCAUGUCAUGAAUGAGUGUUAUCAUCAUACGUAACAUACAUAUGCUAGUAGUUUAUAAAUAGACUGCUCUCUCAAGUUGUUGGGAGAGAUAUGGAUUGUUAUUCACUUGUAAUUUGUUAACCCUAAUUAAGAAAGUAAAUAGAAAAACCAUCAUAAUAAAACCUUACUUCUCAUUCUUUUCUCUCUUCAUAAAUUGAAUCGUUUUCUUGAUUAUUGAAGAACUCUCUCUUUCUCAUAGAUUUGUUAUGUUUGGCAUUGUUUAUCACAACAAAUUGGUGCAGUGAGCAUGGAUUAAGAUGUUGUCAACGAAGUAUGAGAUUGAAAAAUUAACCGGUGUGAAUGAUUUCGGAUUAUGGCACUUGAAGAUGCAAUUUU